AUGUGAAUUGCAGAAUUCAGUGAAUCAUCGAAUCUUUGAACGCACAUUGCGCCCUUUGGUAUUCCUUAGGGCAUGCCUGUUCGAGCGUCACU
rnacentral:rRNA from 1 species